CUCGAGCCCAGAAAACUAUCCUCUAAGACCAGACGUGACAAGGAGAAGCAGAGCUGUAAGAGCUGUGGUGAGACCUUCAACUCCAUCACCAAGAGGAGGCAUCACUGCAAGCUGUGCGGGGUGCCAUGCUGAGGGGUGAGAGGUGGUUUCUGGUUAUGAAUUUGAUUUGCAUUUCCCUGAUGGCCAGUGAUGGGGCGUCUUCCCGUGUGCUUGGUGGCUCUUCUCACUCUUCCUCCCAUGCACACAAGACUCCUGGACUCUGGAUCCUCCAGGACAGGAGGGUCAUCUGCGGGAAGUGCUCCGAGUUCAAGGCCGAGAACAGCCGGCAGAGCCGUGUCUGCAGAGAGUGUUUCCUGACACAGCCAGUGGCCCCCGAGAGCCCCAGCCCCGAGGCUCCGGCCAAGCCCAGGCAGAGCACAGAGACACCCACUGCAGACCCCCAGCCCAGCCUGCUCUGUGGCCCCCUGCGGCUGUCAGAGAGCGGUGAGACCUGGAGUG
rnacentral:sRNA from 1 species